rnacentral:rRNA from 1 species
UACGUAGGGGGCAAGCGUUGUCCGGAUUUAUUGGGCGUAAAGAGCGUGUAGGCGGCCAUGCAGGUCCGUUGUGAAAACUCGAGGCUCAACCUCGAGACGCCGAUGGAAACCGCAUGGCUAGAGUCCGGAAGAGGAGAGUGGAAUUCCUGGUGUAGCGGUGAAAUGCGCAGAUAUCAGGAAGAACACCCGUGGCUAAGGCGGCUCUCUAGUACGGUACUGACGCUCAGGCACGAAAGCGUGGGGAGCAAACAGG